rnacentral:tRNA from 3 species
GCGGGUGUAGUUCAUCGGUAGAACCACAGCCUUCCAAGCUGUUGAGGCGGGUUCGACUCCCGUCACCCGCUCCA